UUUUAUGAGAGUUUGAUCCUGGCUCAGGACGAACGCUGGCGGCGUGCCUAAUACAUGCAAGUCGAACGCUUCUUUUUCCACCGGAGCUUGCUCCACCGGAAAAAGAGGAGUGGCGAACGGGUGAGUAACACGUGGGUAACCUGCCCAUUAGAAGGGGAUAACACUUGGAAACAGGUGCUAAUACCGUAUAACAAUCAAAACCGCAUGGUUUUGAUUUGAAAGGCGCUUUCGGGUGUCGCUGAUGGAUGGACCCGCGGUGCAUUAGCUAGUUGGUGAGGUAACGGCUCACCAAGGCCACGAUGCAUAGCCGACCUGAGAGGGUGAUCGGCCACAUUGGGACUGAGACACGGCCCAAACUCCUACGGGAGGCAGCAGUAGGGAAUCUUCGGCAAUGGACGAAAGUCUGACCGAGCAACGCCGCGUGAGUGAAGAAGGUUUUCGGAUCGUAAAACUCUGUUGUUAGAGAAGAACAAGGAUGAGAGUAACUGUUCAUCCCUUGACGGUAUCUAACCAGAAAGCCACGGC
rnacentral:rRNA from 1 species